rnacentral:lncRNA from 1 species
CCUCAGGCCCUUUGCACCCACUCUUCUCCUUCCCACAAGGCUCUUUCUCCAGGUAUCCACAUGGGGCUCUAGCUCACUUCUUUCAAGUUUUUGCCCAUAUGGCACCUAUCCAUCCUGUUUAAAAUUACACCCCUUUCAUCCCAUCUCCUCUGUCCCCUCUCUAUCCAAAUCUCUGUUUUACUUGUCUCCACGGCAAAUCAUUUUCUGACCUGCUAUAUAUUUUAUUUUACUUCCUUAUCUUACUGAUUAUCUGCUGCCCCCCACCCCCACCCCAGAGAACGUAGGGACUUACAUCUGUUUUGUCUGCUGGUGGUCCCCAGUGCUUGGCAGUAAACUUUCAAUGUAAAGAAUGAAUCAGUGAAGGUUCUGUGAUGGGUCCCAAACUCAGACCUGCUUGUCCAGAGCCUGUGCUGCUGAGCCCCAGAGCUCCUGUGAUCUGCAUACACUCUUAGGAUGUGAGACCCUGUUUGCCAUGGAAGCUGGAGAGAGCCUUUCAGAGAGGCGAACCAAUCACAUGAACCCAAGGGAAAGGAGUCAGACCUGAUGGUUCCCUCUGGGAACCUUCGAAGUAUGCAAUUUUGAGGGAACCAUGAGUCCCAACCAAGCACUGACCCGCAUAAGCAGAAAUUGAUGACCUCAAACAUUUUCUCCAAGGCAGAAAAGGAGGGGCGCUGCUAAGGAUUUCCUCAGCCUUUCCUGGAAAGAUAACCAUCCUCUCUGGCAACGGAGCUAGCACAGAGCAAUUCCUCCCAGUUCCUGAUUUAGCCUUGUGUAACGGAUCCUGCCUGCACCACCCUCACCUCUGCCCCCCACCCUCUGCUGUUGGGAAGAGGCCAGAAACUUUGAGGAAACUGGCCAAACCUCCUGUUCCUUAAAGUCAAUUAAAAAAACAAAACAGGAUCUGAGGGCCAACUUGUGAAGUUUGUGACCCCUGGAGUCCUCCUCCCUGGUCUUCUUCCCAGAGCCUCAGGGGUCUCUAGAAUGCUUUUGGGUAAUUGGGGCCAUUCGUGUCAACCACAAGCACCGAAGUGCCAGUGACCGUGUGCCAGGCCUGUGUCAGUUGCCGC